rnacentral:lncRNA from 1 species
CUUAUAUUUCUGCAACUGAUUUUGGAGCCACUGACACUGUUAAUGACCUGAAGAAGGUUAUAAAAAAGGUGAGUUGUAUACUUGUAUUAUAUAAGUUUUGUGCAUUGUCAAGUUACCCGCAUAUAAGACAUAAUGUAGAAUAAAUAUAUUCUCUAUGCAAACAUAAUGCUUCUUGAUUGGUUCACAGAUGAAGAUACAACUUGCAGACGAACAAGUUAGCUUUGAAGGUGAGAAGUGGGUGGAGUAUGUUGACAACACUUUUGAGGAAUACAAAGGCCCUCUUAACAAUUCGGCUGGUGCCCACAAACCAGCAUGCAUGUUCUACCUCACAUUAAAGGUAGACUGUUGCACUCUUUCAUGCUAUUUUCACCUGUCCUUUCUUGCCCGACGUCAUUUGCAGGGAAUGUUAUUUGGCUAUUUUUCUAUGUGUGUUGAGUAAGAUCUUUUUAUUGAAGGAUUGCCCUAUUUUCAUAUCUGAAAUUGUAGUAGCCACAAUCCCUGCAACAUAGUACAUCAUGUUAUAACCAGCCGUGGGCAGACCAACCGAACUCCAAACCUACACCCUCAAAUUCUACUGCAACUACCUGAUACACUUUUCCCUGCCUCAGCGAAGGACUUGACAUAUUCUUGUAUUGUAAUAUUACUCUAUGAAUUAAUAAAAUAUAACACAUUAAUGAAACUAUGAAUAAAGUAGCGGUGACAGGUCAAAUGACAUUGACAACAGUGAUACUAUGCCAUAAUGCAUUUGGUUAAAAUUGUAUCUACCUAACUGCAUGUAUAUGUUAAAAAAACUGCAGGUAUAAAUAUUAAUUCGGUAUUUUGACAACUCGAUGGGUAUGCAUACUUCUUUCUUCUGAUAUGUUGUUCCUUUGACCAGGGUUGUAUAAAUGGCAGCUAUUGUUCAUAUGCACAUGAUUGUGACUCUUUGAUUUCUUCAUCAGUUACAUCUAAAAUAAGUCAAGAAGAUAUACCCUGGCGUACUGAAAAAGGUUGGGAAGAGUUGCUGACUGGAGGUGAAAAUGGUCACAUUCUUGUUGUGAAUGACAAAAAUCUGAAGUUUUCUCGUGAACUUUGUAAGAUAGUUGCCAGUAUACCUCGUCUGCGUUUGGCUGAGCAUAAUUCAGUUGCAAACAACCUCAGAUUAGUCCAGAAUGUUGCUGAUCCUUCUCAUCUAACUAUUGGAGGUGAACAUGAACUACCAGUUCCUUGGACGAAAUUACAGCGAAUUAUUCUGUUAGAUGAUUAUGGUUCUGGUGAAGCAAUCAAUCACCAAAUAUUCCAGAAGUUCUUUGAGUAUAUUGCCAUCAAGAUCUUGUCGGAAACAUUAUCCGGUUUGCAGGUCAUCGUGAUCAUGAAUAACACAAAAUUUGUUAAGAUACAGGUACUCCAUUUGUUAAGUUGUAUCACAAAUCUGAAGUUCGAUUAACACACAUUACAGUAAAAUAAUCUUGGUGUGCAUGACUCAUGGUAGUUUAUUAUUUAUUUGCUAUUUGCCUGUUUAACAUCUGAGAAUGAGAAUUACCUUCUGAAUCUCAGCUUAGUCGACAGGCAACAUUAUUUAUCAGUCCACUGCUAAAAAUUGACAGACAUUGGUUGCUGUUUUUACAGGUGGAAAAAUUGGCAAGAGAGUGUUUCUUCUUUCUGGGUGAAUCAUUCCUAUUAAAUGGAGUGCCUCUUGGAUGGUUUCCGUGCAUCCGUCAACAAGAUUGGCGAGUAGCAGGACCAGUUGCUUACGUUUUCAACAUGCAUCCUCCAUCCCCACAGCGAUUUUGCAGCACAACAGAACUGGGCGCCAAGUCCUCUGCAGAGACUAGUUAGGUCAUACACAUGCUAAUAGCUACUCCUAGGUCAAAUCGUUUUGCCAGCUGGAAAUACUUAGUUCUUUGGUCAGGUCAGCUUGUACAGAAAUAUUAUGGCACAGUAGCUACGAUGGAUACGGUAGGCACUGUUGCGCUGCGACUGCAAACUUGGGUUUUAAUGUCGUCGCUGCUCUAAUUUUUGUUAGACGUCCAAUUGUCAUGGAAGUGCCUUGAAAGUUGUUAUAUUUUCAUUUGGAAGUGCCCCCAAAGGCAUGGAAUCUCACUCUAUGUGAUAACCUUAAUUGCGUACGUUAUAUGUGAAUUGUUAACUCUGGACCUUAUAUACCUUUGCCGGUUUGUUGAAGAUACUCAACUCCUGAAAAUAGUUCCUCCUUCCCAAACUUGAGGGAAGGAUGUGAUACACUUUGCACGUCAUGAUACACAGCAAGGCUAGUUUCAACAGUGUGUGGAGGGAGUCGACGGAGGAUGGCAGGAGGCCAGGUGUCUUAACUCGUAAGAAAUAAACUUUGUGUUUAUGAUGACUACUAGCUAAUUGUUUGUGUGUUGCAACAUGGCCAAACAUAUUUCAAUGAUUCAAUACUAAUUACUAGUGCCUGAAUAGAGAUGUCGUGAGUGUUUUUUCCCCUUGAGCCAACCCAUAUCGACGUUGUCGAGUAGGAUUGUGUGGCAGAAUGGAUGUUGUUUUUGUUUUAAGAGAACGAGUAGGACAAAUAAUGGAAAGUAUUAACAUGUUCAGAUUAUCUCAUGUUACUGUAUAUACGUUAGUUUUUGUUUUGUGCGUUGUCGGUGAAGAUUUGUUUUUACAGGAACCAAGCGGGGAUGAAAGCAUUGGGUGGAAAGAAAUGAGAAUGAGCUGAGGCAAACCUACCGACCCCCUUUUGAUAGUAGACAUAGGUAAAAGUAGCCGGGCAGCUUCUAGCCUGACUUUAUAAAUAAAGCCAACACCCGCAAAGUAAGAAAAUUUAUGUAGCGAUAGUGUUCCAAUCAAUAUCUCUAAAUAUUCAAUUCAGGCGAGCAUUGAUGGGAGAAAGAUGGAAUGACUGGAUACAUUUGGUCAGAUGUUUGAUGGAGGUUGAACUGUCGAACCAGGAAGACUCCAUUCAAUGAAAAUUAACCACUUCUGGCAGAUUUAUGGUAAAAUCAAUCAUCGACGUAAUAAAUUCUGGACCACUGUCGAGAUCUUUACAUUUGUGGAAGAUCAAGGUACCACUCAGAAUCAAGAUUUUCAUGUGGUUUAUACACAAGGAAGUUGUGUUAACCAAAGAUAAUUUAAUAAGACGAAGAUGGAUAGGCUUCUUUGAUCAAGAUGAAACGGUCAAACACCUCUUUCUUGAUUGUCCACUAGCCAAAUUAUUAUGACACUGUUCAUAUAGUUUUCAACAUUUCUCAACCAACUAGCAUUAACCCGCUAUUUGGGACGUGGCUCAAAGGAGUAGAAGGAACUAUAGCGAAUCACAUAAAGAUUGGAAUAAGUGUGUUGUAUUGGGUUGUUUGGAAUACGCGAAAUGAUCAUAUUUUUAAUGGUAAGGUUAUCUUAAAAAAAUUGUAGGUUAUAUACAGAGCUACAGCUUGGAUCCGUAUGUGGUCAUUACUCAGCCAUGUGGACUUCCGGAAGCUUAUGGCUAUUGGGUGCAACCGGUGGGAGACGGUCGCACGGGCUAUCUUCAGUCAAUUUGGAUGGCGAGCUACUAAUAGACUAGGUGUAUAGGCAUUGUAGUCUGUUUGUUUCAAUUUGCCAGGUGUGGCAGUUUUACCCCGCUCGUGAGCGGUUUCUAUUUUGCGUUGUAUUGGAGAAUUGAAGACCUUUGUUACUUUCUUAGUUAAUAAAAUAGCUGCAUGCAUCGAUUGAUGCAGAGGCUGGAAGAUGAUCCUCCUUUUCCAAAAAAAAUACAGAAUAACAAUGUAGUUACAAAAAAUGGAUGCCACCGGAAAACCAAUUGAGACAGCGAAACAAGUCCUCUAAAGAGGCUCCGAUGGAGGGCGCUGGUCUCCGCGUGCUCUCUCACAAUGCAGGGGUGGCCCCAUAAAUUGAACGUUGUGUAUUCAAAUUUUAACAACUAUUUUUUGGAAGCCUACAACCUUCCUUUUGGCGCUUAUAACCAAUUAUAGCAGCAUAUUAUACUAAUUCUGUACCAUAUAUAAGGUAUCAUAGAAUAUAUUAUAUUCACAAAAAUUGAUAAUAAUUUGGUAUUGUUCAACAUAUAGAACUAAAAAUUGUUCAACAUAUCGUGGCAAAUCUAUGAUAUAUAAAGGAUAAAAAAUAGCAAAUGAUAAGAAACCUUACAAAGUAGAGGAUAACUUUGCGAUCCUUGAUGCUUUGAAAAUAAGCGAUGAUGCCUUCGUCUUUAACUUGCAAGAAAAAAAAUCCCUUUCAAUGAAUGUGACCAAGUAAUCAUUCAAGUAUUUUUGCCCCAUCUUGCUUCUUAGUUUGUUUAUUUCAUAAAAUUCAUUGAUGAGAAGACCCUCUCAACACCAGCAGUUGAACAGGAAGAACUAGCAUCAAUUUGAGAAGUUUGUAAACAGUCUCGUACCGAAGAAACCUCCCUGUUACAAUUUAUAAGCAUUCUCACAUCACGGAUUCAAAUGGAAAAUUGAGAUUGUCAUGUCUAACUAAUUCAUAAUUGAGUCCAAACAAGUUUGUAGUUUCACUGUAAUUAAGUAGAAAGAUAACCGGUCAGUGGUCAAAAUAACUUACUUAGUCUUGUACUUCUAUAAAGCAGCCUGCUGAGCAGUAUGAGAACAAAAUCGAGCCCUUGCUGCCUGAAUUCAGUUUGACACUGAUAGAUAAAUUCAGUUAGAACACUUUGUAUAGUGCUGACCGAAUUCAGUUCGACGGUGAUGCAUAAAUUCAGUUAGAACACUUUGUAUAGUUGAAUUCGGGGUCAAAGGAUUAGUACAUGUAAUAGCUAUUAUACCUUCAAUAGUUGAAAACGUGUUGUGGCUUUGAACUGGUUUAAUUACUGCCUCGGAUUUCUGUAGUCAUGCUAACCCCACACCUAUAGAGUGUGCAGCGAUCAGAAACUUCAGAACAAAAAGGGGCAAGGGGUCAGGGAUGGAUUCGUGGCGCGCGUCCGCGCCGCAGCCACGGUCACGCGUACCUGCGAUCAAUCGCCGAUCAGGCGGCGACAACUCUGGUCCGUGGCCGUCGUGCGGUGCCAAUCUGGCGGUUGGUGGCUCGGCUUGCUGCAGCAAUUUGGGCCAUAUGGGUCAUGUCUUGGUGGUGAGGUGGAAAUAAAUACGAU